GGUUAAGCGACUAAGCGUACACGGUGGAUGCCCCGGCAGUCAGAGGCGAUGAAGGACGUGCUAAUCUGCGAUAAGCGUCGGUAAGGUGAUAUGAACCGUUAUAACCGGCGAUUUCCGAAUGGGGAAACCCAGUGUGUUUCGACACACUAUCAUUAACUGAAUCCAUAGGUUAAUGAGGCGAACCGGGGGAACUGAAACAUCUAAGUACCCCGAGGAAAAGAAAUCAACCGAGAUUCCCCCAGUAGCGGCGAGCGAACGGGGAGCAGCCCAGAGCCUGAAUCAGUGUGUGUGUUAGUGGAAGCGUCUGGAAAGGCGCGCGAUACAGGGUGACAGCCCCGUACACAAAAAUGCACAUGCUGUGAGCUCGAUGAGUAGGGCGGGACACGUGGUAUCCUGUCUGAAUAUGGGGGACCAUCCUCCAAGGCUAAAUACUCCUGACUGACCGAUAGUGAACCAGUACCGUGAGGGAAAGGCGAAAAGAACCCCGGCGAGGGGAGUGAAAAAGAACCUGAAACCGUGUACGUACAAGCAGUGGGAGCACGCUUAGGCGUGUGACUGCGUACCUUUUGUAUAAUGGGUCAGCGACUUAUAUUCUGUAGCAAGGUUAACCGAAUAGGGGAGCCGAAGGGAAACCGAGUCUUAACUGGGCGUUAAGUUGCAGGGUAUAGACCCGAAACCCGGUGAUUCAGCCAUGGGCAGGUUGAAGGUUGGGUAACACUAACUGGAGGACCGAACCGACUAAUGUUGAAAAAUUAGCGGAUGACUUGUGGCUGGGGGUGAAAGGCCAAUCAAACCGGGAGAUAGCUGGUUCUCCCCGAAAGCUAUUUAGGUAGCGCCUCGUGAAUUCAUCUCCGGGGGUAGAGCACUGUUUCGGCAAGGGGGUCAUCCCGACUUACCAACCCGAUGCAAACUGCGAAUACCGGAGAAUGUUAUCACGGGAGACACACGGCGGGUGCUAACGUCCGUCGUGAAGAGGGAAACAACCCAGACCGCCAGCUAAGGUCCCAAAGUCAUGGUUAAGUGGGAAACGAUGUGGGAAGGCCCAGACAGCCGGGAUGUUGGCUUAGAAGCAGCCAUCAUUUAAAGAAAGCGUAAUAGCUCACUGGUCGAGUCGGCCUGCGCGGAAGAUGUAACGGGGCUAAACCAUGCACCGAAGCUGCGGCAGCGACGCUUAUGCGUUGUUGGGUAGGGGAGCGUUCUGUAAGCCUGUGAAGGUGUGCUGUGAGGCAUGCUGGAGGUAUCAGAAGUGCGAAUGCUGACAUAAGUAACGAUAAAGCGGGUGAAAAGCCCGCUCGCCGGAAGACCAAGGGUUCCUGUCCAACGUUAAUCGGGGCAGGGUGAGUCGACCCCUAAGGCGAGGCCGAAAGGCGUAGUCGAUGGGAAACAGGUUAAUAUUCCUGUACUUGGUGUUACUGCGAAGGGGGACGGAGAAGGCUAUGUUGGCCGGGCGACGGUUGUCCCGGUUUAAGCGUGUAGGCUGGUUUUCCGGGCAAAUCCGGAAAAUCAAGGCUGAGGCGUGAUGACGAGGCACUACGGUGCUGAAGCAACAAAUGCCCUGCUUCCGUGAAAAGCCUCUAAGCAUCAGGUAACAUCAAAUCGUACCCCAAACCGACACAGGUGGUCAGGUAGAGAAUACCAAGGCGCUUGAGAGAACUCGGGUGAAGGAACUAGGCAAAAUGGUGCCGUAACUUCGGGAGAAGGCACGCUGAUAUGUAGGUGAAGUCCCUUGCGGAUGGAGCUGAAAUCAGUCGAAGAUACCAGCUGGCUGCAACUGUUUAUUAAAAACACAGCACUGUGCAAACACGAAAGUGGACGUAUACGGUGUGACGCCUGCCCGGUGCCGGAAGGUUAAUUGAUGGGGUCAGCGCAAGCGAAGCUCUUGAUCGAAGCCCCGGUAAACGGCGGCCGUAACUAUAACGGUCCUAAGGUAGCGAAAUUCCUUGUCGGGUAAGUUCCGACCUGCACGAAUGGCGUAAUGAUGGCCGUGCUGUCUCCACCCGAGACUCAGUGAAAUUGAACUCGCUGUGAAGAUGCAGUGUACCCGCGGCAAGACGGAAAGACCCCGUGAACCUUUACUAUAGCUUGACACUGAACAUUGAGCCUUGAUGUGUAGGAUAGGUGGGAGGCUUUGAAGUGUGGACGCCAGUCUGCAUGGAGCCGACCUUGAAAUACCACCCUUUAAUGUUUGAUGUUCUAACGUUGACCCGUAAUCCGGGUUGCGGACAGUGUCUGGUGGGUAGUUUGACUGGGGCGGUCUCCUCCUAAAGAGUAACGGAGGAGCACGAAGGUUGGCUAAUCCUGGUCGGACAUCAGGAGGUUAGUGCAAUGGCAUAAGCCAGCUUGACUGCGAGCGUGACGGCGCGAGCAGGUGCGAAAGCAGGUCAUAGUGAUCCGGUGGUUCUGAAUGGAAGGGCCAUCGCUCAACGGAUAAAAGGUACUCCGGGGAUAACAGGCUGAUACCGCCCAAGAGUUCAUAUCGACGGCGGUGUUUGGCACCUCGAUGUCGGCUCAUCACAUCCUGGGGCUGAAGUAGGUCCCAAGGGUAUGGCUGUUCGCCAUUUAAAGUGGUACGCGAGCUGGGUUUAGAACGUCGUGAGACAGUUCGGUCCCUAUUCUGCCGUGGGCGCUGGAGAACUGAGGGGGCUGCUCCUAGUACGAGAGGACCGGAGUGGACGCAUCACUGGUGUUCGGGUUGUCAUGCCAAUGGCACUGCCCGGUAGCUAAAUGCGGAAGAGAUAAGUGCUGAAAGCAUCUAAGCACGAAACUUGCCCCGAGAUGAGUUCUCCCUGACUCCUUGAGAGUCCUGAAGGAACGUUGAAGACGACGACGUUGAUAGGCCGGGUGUGUAAGCGCAGCGAUGCGUUGAGCUAACCGGUACUAAUGAACCGUGAGGCUUAACCUU
rnacentral:rRNA from 1 species